rnacentral:rRNA from 1 species
UACAGGGGGUGCAAACGUUGCUCGGAAUCAUUGGGCGUAAAGCGCGCGUAAGCGGCCCGGUAAGUCCGCUCUGAAAGUCCAGGGCUCAACCCUGGAAAGCGGGUGGAUACUGCCGGGCUAGAAUCCGGAAGAGGCGAGUGGAAUUCCUGGUGUAGCGGUGGAAUGCGCAGAUAUCAGGAGGAACACCGGUGGCGAAGGCGGAUCUCUGGGCCUUACCUGACGCUGAGGAGCGAAAGCAUGGGGAGCAAACAGG